rnacentral:rRNA from 1 species
UACAGAGGGGGCUAGCGUUGCUCGGAAUCACUGGGCGUAAAGGGCGCGUAGGCGGCCAUUCAAGUCGGAGGUGAAAGCCCAGGGCUCAACCCUGGAAUUGCCUUCGAUACUGUUUGGCUAGAGACCGGAAGAGGUAAGUGGAACUGCGAGUGUAGAGGUGAAAUUCGUAGAUAUUCGCAAGAACACCAGUGGCGAAGGCGGCUUACUGGUCCGGUUCUGACGCUGAGGCGCGAAAGCGUGGGGAGCAAACAGG